ACUAAACCACCUAGGAGCCCCAUUCAACAAAUAUUUAAGUAACAAUUCUGUGCCAGGCAUCAACCAACAAUUAUGUAAGUAAGAUUGUUACAGCAGAUACUCGGCUCCCAGGAAGAGACAAGCGAUACACACUCGGGGAAUCGGAAAAAAAACGUGUAUUUCGCAUCGAUGCUGGCACAGAGGGGUCACCUCCAAAGAUUGAGCCCCGAGGCCUAGUGCCGGCCUUCUUGUAUGCCUGGCGAGCUUCUGGGUAGUUGGAAACAUUAUUAGGUGCAUGAGGGGGCGCUAUCAGUUGUGCUACCAGAGCAGUUGGCUGAUGCGAGAGGCAAGCAAGAUUCCAGAAGCCAAAAGCAUGCAAGGGGGAGUGAGUAUCUGGCCCCAGACAUCUGGCUGGCUCUUUUUUUUUUUUUAAGUCUGCUCUUGCUGGCUUUCCUUCUCAAGAUGGUGAAGAUCAUAACAAGCUAGAAGGGAUUAUGAAUAGAGGAUGGAAAGAGAGAUUGUUGAAGUUACACAGAUUAUGCGGAAGCCCACAAAACAAUCGCAAAUCGACGGUCUUCUUCAUCCACGUGCUACUUUUGCUGUCUCUGUGAACCAUAAUGCCUGCCUUUUAUUUUACUUGGAGUCACGAAGGCAAAUAAUUUUAUGAACUUCAUAGUGAUUGAAGAUAAACAGAGGCCCAUCAAGCAUUUUAAGGGUUUACUGGAGCAAAAUUCAAUUCGAAUCAGAGAGCAACCAACCUUUGAGAUGGAAAGCUUUGAGGGGCUGGACGACAUGAAAGACUUUUAUAGGCAUAAGGGAGCAGGAAUAAGGAAGUCAUGCUGGACCAAAAAAGUAUCACAAAAGAAGCAUUCUCAUUCUCUUCAAAAAUGAAAGUAAUAAUAAUGUCUACAUCGCAAUGUAAACAAACAGGAAGCCUUGCAAGGGAUUGGAGGAACCUUAACAACUCUUACCAAUGGGAAGACAUCUGCAUAACAAGCCUUACUAAACAGCCCUGGUUUGGGGCUCACCAAACACCAAAGACCUAACCAUAGGACUGUAGAAUAUUUCCCCUCCCUGAUUAUCCUACCACCACACUAAUAAAGACCCACUUCCAGCA